rnacentral:rRNA from 1 species
GCCAAUCAAACCGGGAGAUAGCUGGUUCUCCCCGAAAGCUAUUUAGGUAGCGCCUCGUGAAUUCAUCUCCGGGGGUAGAGCACUGUUUCGGCAAGGGGGUCAUCCCGACUUACCAACCCGAUGCAAACUGCGAAUACCGGAGAAUGUUAUCACGGGAGACACACGGCGGGUGCUAACGUCCGUCGUGAAGAGGGAAACAACCCAGACCGCCAGCUAAGGUCCCAAAGUCAUGGUUAAGUGGGAAACGAUGUGGGAAGGCCCAGACAGCCAGGAUGUUGGCUUAGAAGCAGCCAUCAUUUAAAGAAAGCGUAAUAGCUCACUGGUCGAGUCGGCCUGCGCGGAAGAUGUAACGGGGCUAAACCAUGCACCGAAGCUGCGGCAGCGACGCUUAUGCGUUGUUGGGUAGGGGAGCGUUCUGUAAGCCUGCGAAGGUGUGCUGUGAGGCAUGCUGGAGGUAUCAGAAGUGCGAAUGCUGACAUAAGUAACGAUAAAGCGGGUGAAAAGCCCGCUCGCCGGAAGACCAAGGGUUCCUGUCCAACGUUAAUCGGGGCAGGGUGAGUCGACCCCUAAGGCGAGGCCGAAAGGCGUAGUCGAUGGGAAACAGGUUAAUAUUCCUGUACUUGGUGUUACUGCGAAGGGGGGACGGAGAAGGCUAUGUUGGCCGGGCGACGGUUGUCCCGGUUUAAGCGUGUAGGCUGGUUUUCCAGGCAAAUCCGGAAAAUCAAGGCUGAGGCGUGAUGACGAGGCACUACGGUGCUGAAGCAACAAAUGCCCUGCUUCCAGGAAAAGCCUCUAAGCAUCAGGUAACAUCAAAUCGUACCCCAAACCGACACAGGUGGUCAGGUAGAGAAUACCAAGGCGCUUGAGAGAACUCGGGUGAAGGAACUAGGCAAAAUGGUGCCGUAACUUCGGGAGAAGGCACGCUGAUACGUAGGUGAAGUCCCUCGCGGAUGGAGCUGAAAUCAGUCGAAGAUACCAGCUGGCUGCAACUGUUUAUUAAAAACACAGCACUGUGCAAACACGAAAGUGGACGUAUACGGUGUGACGCCUGCCCGGUGCCGGAAGGUUAAUUGAUGGGGUCAGCGCAAGCGAAGCUCUUGAUCGAAGCCCCGGUAAACGGCGGCCGUAACUAUAACGGUCCUAAGGUAGCGAAAUUCCUUGUCGGGUAAGUUCCGACCUGCACGAAUGGCGUAAUGAUGGCCAGGCUGUCUCCACCCGAGACUCAGUGAAAUUGAACUCGCUGUGAAGAUGCAGUGUACCCGCGGCAAGACGGAAAGACCCCGUGAACCUUUACUAUAGCUUGACACUGAACAUUGAGCCUUGAUGUGUAGGAUAGGUGGGAGGCUUUGAAGUGUGGACGCCAGUCUGCAUGGAGCCGACCUUGAAAUACCACCCUUUAAUGUUUGAUGUUCUAACGUUGACCCGUAAUCCGGGUUGCGGACAGUGUCUGGUGGGUAGUUUGACUGGGGCGGUCUCCUCCUAAAGAGUAACGGAGGAGCACGAAGGUUGGCUAAUCCUGGUCGGACAUCAGGAGGUUAGUGCAAUGGCAUAAGCCAGCUUGACUGCGAGCGUGACGGCGCGAGCAGGUGCGAAAGCAGGUCAUAGUGAUCCGGUGGUUCUGAAUGGAAGGGCCAUCGCUCAACGGAUAAAAGGU